rnacentral:rRNA from 1 species
AUUGAACGCUGGCGGCAGGCCUAACACAUGCAAGUCGAGCGAGCGGCGGACGGGUGAGUAAUGUCUGGGGAACUGCCUGAUGGAGGGGGAUAACUACUGGAAACGGUAGCUAAUACCGCAUACCAUCAGAUGUACCCAUAUGGGAUUAGCUUGUUGGUAGGGUAACGGCUUACCAAGGCGACGAUCCCUAGCUGGUCUGAGAGGAUGAUCAGCCACACUGGAACUGAGACACGGUCCAGACUCCUACGGGAGGCAGCAGUGGGGAAUAUUGGACAAUGGGCGAAAGCCUGAUGCAGCCAUGCCGCGUGUAUGAAGAAGGUCUGCGGAUUGUAAAGCACUUUAAGUUGGGAGGCGUUACCCACAGAAUAAGCACCGGCUAACUUCGUGCCAGCAGCCGCGGUAAUUC